UUCACGUAUGAGCGCAGCCUGAUGCAGCCAUGCCGCGUGUAUGAAGAAGGCCUUCGGGUUGUAAAGUACUUUCAGCGGGGAGGAAGGCGAUAAGGUUAAUAACCUUGUCGAUUGACGUUACCCGCAGAAGAAGCACCGGCUAACUCCGUGCCAGCAGCCGCGGUAAU
rnacentral:rRNA from 1 species